rnacentral:ribozyme from 13 species
GGAAUAAUAAUAAUAGGAAAAUGAGGACGAUAACCCAAAAAAGCCAUCGCUUUCCCCAGCCUCUUUUCUCCACUCUCUUUCUUUAUUGUUCGAACUCCAUCCAUUACAUCGUAUUGUUUAUAUUGAGAAAGGACAGUGUCACGUUUCUCAGAAGAGACAGAUUGAAAAGAAAGUGUAAAAAAAAGUGUCCCAGUUUUUCCGGUUGUCCUUGUUAAAGGAAUUUGAUAAACUUUGGGUUGAGGAGAUCCUUCAGCAGUAAAAUGAGCAACACCAAUUUUUGUUGUCACUUUUUCUC